CCCUUAGAUGUUCUGGGCCGCACGCGUGCUACACUGAUGCAUUCAACGAGUCUAAAACCUGCUCUGAUAGGGGUGGGUAAUCUUUUGAAUGUGCAUCGUGAUUGGGAUAGAUGAUUGCAAUUUUUCAUCUUCAACGAGGAAUGCCUAGUAAACGCAAGUCAUCAGCUUGCAUUGAUUACGUCCCUGCCCUUUGUACACACCGCCCGUCGCUCCUACCGAUUGAAUGAUCCGAUGAAUAUCAUAGACUGAGAGUAUAAGCAGGUUCGCCUGUCUUUGCUUCUCGGGAAGUGAAGUAAAUCUUAUCAUUUAGAGGAAGGAGAAGUCGUAACA
rnacentral:rRNA from 1 species